AGGCCUACGAUCUAACGUCCUAAAAAAAUUCGAUAAACACCUACGUUCCGGAUGCAAGAGAUCCACAGAGGAUUAGUUGAGAUGAUUUUAUAUUACACCUGCCCCAUUCACGCCACUAUCUCAAGUUGUUUUCUUCCACUGGCUCUCUUCGCGUCCUUUACUACCAUCGCCAUUAAUACUAAGCAAAUAUUGAGAUGAUUUAUUCACCCCCAUUUUCUGUUCGUUCUCACAAUCAUCACUAAAUAGCACCUAUAUGUUUUCUUUCUUCCCCAAUUAAUUCCCUAAUCACCUGGGAACAAGAUCGAUAUACUCAGCCAACUAAAAUUAGAAAAUCACCUCUGUAAAUUAGAACAAGUACAAAAGAGAUCGAUCUCGAAGAUCAAAAACCCUAUCACCACAACUCAUUGGAGAUGUAUAAACAAAUUGAUGGCUAAUUAAUUUGGGGAUCUGAAAAGUCGAAUAAAGAAAUUGACAGCUAAAUUUUGGGAUCUGAAAAUCCUCAAUUGUUUGAUAAGAGAAGAAUUAAAAAGAAGAAAUUAAGAAGAAUUUCACAAAUGGAAAUAGGCGUAGCAAUAGGAUUCUGAAACGGUUGAAGAAUGAUGAGAAGAUUAGAGACAGGGAAAAUGGUGGUAGCGGAGUUUGGAGAAGAUGAGUUGGAGUCAGGGAAAAUGGUGGUGGCGGCGGCAUUUGGAUAAGAUGAGUUCUCAAGAAUAUGGAAUAAAUGCCAGGAAAGUGGAGGUUAUAAUAGUAAACUCGUCCACAAAUUUCAAAUUAUUUUUUGUUUUACUGUAUUUUUUUUAUAUUUUUUAAUAAUUUCUAAACGGAAGUUGAUAUUUAA